rnacentral:rRNA from 1 species
AGCAGCCGCGGUAAUUCCAGCUCCAAUAGCGUAUAUUAAAGUUGUUGCAGUUAAAAAGCUCGUAGUUGAAUUUCGGGGUCAGUAGGUCGGUCAUGCCUCCGGUAUGUACUGGUCUCACUGAUUCCUCCUUCCUGAUGAGCCGUAAUGCCAUUAAUUUGGUGUUGCGGGGAAUCUGGACUGUUACUUUGAAAAAAUUAGAGUGUUUAAAGCAAGCUAACGCUUGAAUACAUUAGCAUGGAAUAAUGGAAUAGGACGUUCGAUCCUAUUUUGUUGGUUUCUAGGAUUGACGUAAUGAUUAAUAGGGAUAGUUGGGGGCAUUAGUAUUCAAUUGUCAGAGGUGAAAUUCUUGGAUUUAUUGAAGACUAACUACUGCGAAAGCAUUUGCCAAGGAUGUUUUCAUUAAUCAAGAACGAAAGUUAGGGGAUCGAAGACGAUCAGAUACCGUCGUAG